AAUACUACAUAUACCAAGUUAACUAAUCCAUUCAUCAAAUAAAUACUGAAUAUUUUCUCUGUGCUUGGUACGUUGUUCAACACUGAAGAUACAGCACAAACCAGUCCGACAUCGUCCCUCUUCUCAUGGAGGGUGUUUAAGCAGGGAAUAAAGGCAUUUUCAAACUACAAGUGAGAUGAGUGUUAUAACGGAGUGGGUGAGGGAAGGCCUUCCUAAGGAUGAGAUCUAAGGAAUAGGAAGGAUUUAGCCAGGUGAAGAGGGUGGGGAAAAUGUUACAAGCACGUGGACCCACUCCAAAAUAAGGGCUAACAUGGUACUUUGGGGAAUUGAGAGAAAUCCAUACGGCUCUGCAGGAAGGAUCAGAGGAGACUAGCUGUGCUAGGUACUUACACCUCCCUUCAAGGAAGGACUUGGUGUCCAGCUGCACAGUGUGCGGUCAGCAGUCUACAGCUGUUCAGCUCCUUCAGGUGUUGAUCCUUAAUGAAAAUCUUGCUCCUUAAACUCUGUGUUAGAAUCAGCUCCUGGUGGAUCCAACUCCAACAGCAGAGGAACAGGAAGACUUUGUGUCAUGUGUGAUAAUAUCAUGAGGUUUCUCCUCAGAUGUGAAGGAGGUGAGGGUCCCUGUAGCCUAAUAGGGAUGGACUACAAGUCCAGUGAGCGAGAGAGCAACUUUGGAGUCUUCACUGAAGGAUCUGCAGGAACUUCUAGAACAAAAAACCCUAACCUAUUGUGAUAAGAAUCAGAAGAGUGGUUGCCUCUGGAAGGGAGAUUGACUGGAAACGGGCUUGAAGAUCUUUUCUAGAGUGAAUGUGAUGACGACCAGGCAGAGGGUCCAUACUGAUAGUCAUCAUCAAUGACAACUGUCUGCAUCAAUGACAUGGCAACUUCCUCUCCAGAGUCAUGGUGGCAAGACACAAAUGACUCUAUUUCAUUUGAUGGUCCCCCUAUACUGACCCAAUCAGCAGGAAGUAGUCAGAAAGACAAGGAUGACCCUGUUCCUCUUAUAGCAUAUGAUUAUGUUGGGUUACAAUUGACAGUGAGGAGUUGUCGGCGCCACUCACAUGAACAGUCAUCUUUCCUAUACAUAUUAAAGAUUUUGUUCUUGUUAUCUUUAAACGAAAUCAGGUAUAAGGCAUUGCUCUGGUCUCUGAUGCUUAUCCAGUAAAACAGAAGAUUAUCAGGAACUGAGACCAGAUGUCUGCCCCACCUGGAGACCAGCCUCUUAUAUAACUGGCUUGUAGUCUUUGUUCUGUGAGAUGGUUUUUCCAGACAUUAGUCAGCCAUCUUCCCCCUUGCUGGCAAGCUGUAAUAAAACCCUUUCUCUCCUACCACCUUGCUUCUCCACUAUUGGUGUGUCUUGAGGCUGGCAGAUGACCCACCCUGGGCAGUAACAAAUUGAAUUUCCACACCAUGACUUUUUCCAGGGACCCGAUUUUCUUGGAGGAAGAUAAAAGAGGGAUACGCUUGUGCUUUCCAUAAAACUGAAACGUACUGAAAUGUUUUAAAGUAAAUUUAAAAUUGACAUUUUAUAUUUUUACUAUCACAAUUAUUGAUUUUUGUUUUUUACUUUUUUAUUUAUUGGCCUAUUAAAAUUGAUUUCUAUUUCCUCUUUUGAGGAAGAGAAAUAUAUAGGGGAAAAAACAACAGAAGGGUACUAGAAUAUUUUGCUGGCUAUCUGAGACCUUUGGCCACUGUUUGGAAAUUGUUGAUCUAUCACAAAUACGUGUAAAAUCUAAGGACUACCUUAUUAGAGAUAUGUACUGAGUAUUCAUGGGUGAAAGGAUACAACGUCUAGGAUUUGCUUUAAAAUCCUGCCACAAAAAAUGGUGGAGGAGGAAAGGUGAAAUGAGUUUGGCAAAAUAAAAUGUUGAUAAUUGUUGAAAGUGGGUGAUGGGAGCCUGGGGUUUAUUAUACUAUAUUACCUUUGUAUGUUUAAACAUGUCUACAAAUUAAAAUCUGAGGAGUUGGCUUAUAUUCUCAGCUUUCCCACUAAGUGGAUAGGAAAUCAUAUUCAAAGCACUUCAAUAUUCUGUGCCUUAAUUUUUACAAAUGGUCAUAUUGCAAGUAAUCAAUCAGCUAGUAAUUAUUGAGCUAGGCUUACUGUGUAGGUAGCAUUCUGAUGUUACUAUCUAAAUUCUCAGGGAUGUUGUCAGAUUACUGCAAAGUAUAAUAUACUUUAAAAAACUAAAACCUCUUUUCAAGUAUUAUCACAAAAUCCAUUGUUGAA
ensembl:lncRNA